rnacentral:lncRNA from 1 species
UUCUCUUUUAUCUUUUUUUUUAGUUCCUGUCCGGUUGCCUCUCCGAGCUCCGGCGGCCGGCGACCGUGGGUGCUCCCAAACCCCCGCGUGCCAAUAGGGCAACCGACCGGCACAUUUCGGUUCGAACCGAACCGACCGAGCUGUAACCCCUAAGUGGCUUGAGGUCUGCUCACUGGCUCACCGCAUCGCAUCCUCGCUGAUCGGCGCUCAACCACCAGCACCGGCGGCGGCGAGUAACCUCAAGGGCGCGGCGCUGGCUCUUCUCCGUCUCCUCGCUGCCACGGACGUCCACGACCUCCUCCCCCUCAUACCCACCCACCCCUCCCAACUCCAAUGGCAGCAUGCCCGCCAGCUGCUCGACGAAAUGAAACGGCCGACCAACUGACCAGCAUCCAUGCCCAAUCUACUCGAUGGUACGUGUCUCGGAUCCCAUUCUUCAUUCUGCAAUCUUGUGUCACUGAAUGUGUGAACUGUAAUCUGUUGAACUGAGUGCAUUCCAGGCAGGCAAUGGAGGCGCCCCAAAUAUUUUGAUGAAGGGUGUGAUGGUGUUUGUUCUUGUUACACGCCGAGUGCCGCUGCAUGCGCCGACUUGAUUUAGUUCAUCGGAAAGUUGGGUAAAUCUGAUGUCAAGUCGCUGCACAUUACAGUAUUUUGUAGUGUUGCAUUUUACUACUGCUGCUGCCACUAAAGGAACCAUCACUUGCUGAAAUAUUCACCGAGUUGAACAAUUUGUGGUCUGCAAAAUGUGAUUAGGCUCAACCACAAGCUCUAGGAACAUCAGACAUAGUCAGUUUUAAGUUUGCACAUAUCUACUAUACAUUUCAUUGAUUGAUUGCUUUGCUUCUUGUAUGUUCAUACUUUCUGCGGAUAUACUGUUUUUUCAUAGUGUUCAAGCACCCUGUUAUAUCUAGUUAUGCACCUUGUGGCUGCUCUGCCAGGUUACUUUAUAUUUUUAUUUUGAGAAAAAGUUGCUUCAUGUUAUAUCUACUGAUAUAAGAUCCCACGCCGUUGUUUAUUUAAGACUUCCACAAGUUAACUUCUCGUGAGGCUGUUAGCGUACUACGGCAUUUCAGUCCACUACAAUAGCUGAAUAAUUUACCUUACUAAGUGAACCCACUAAGUCAUCAUAUACUUUUAAUUAGUGUGGCUCUGAAAAUUGGGUAGUUCUCAGAUUCUGGUAGAAUGAUUAGCUUGAAUUGCUGUGGUAACUAGUAGUGUUGUACAACGUGACCAUAUGGCAGCAUGUUUUAUUGCCUGCUGGUUGCAUAAUGUCUGUCAACAUGAUUUAUCAUCACCAUCUAGAAGUGUAUCUCACUCUGUGGUAUUUCCGACUUCAAUCAUGAUAUAUGAAGCUUUAUGUGCAGCUACGGAAACUAGGUUGAUUGAGUUAGCAUGAAUUCUGGGGAUGUUAUAUCUUUCGAGUUUCAACUGCAUGACUACUAGAUAUAGUUGACCAACUGUGAGCCUUGACAUUCAGAAUACUAGGGGUUGCAUGUUUCUCAGUUUUGACUUUGCACAAAGCUACUACACAUGAUUGCUCAGCUUCUUAUGUUCAUAUUUUCUGCACAUUACACUGUUUUGUCUCAGUUUUCAAGUACCCUGUUAUGUCUAGUUGUGCACCUUGUGGCUGCUGUACCAAGUUGCUUCAUGUUGAUCCCACGCUGUAUUUUAUUUCAGGCUUCUACAAGUUAACUUCACUAGUGAUGCUAUUAAAAUACCCACUACAGUAGCAGAAUAAUUUACCUUGCUUAGUGAACCCACUAACUCAUCAUAUAUACUGUUACAUAAUCUGGCUCACUUGUUACCAAAAUUUAUGCAUCGCUAAGACCUUAAGGCCCCGCUUGGAAUCGGUAUAUCUUUAUACACCUGUAUUUAUUUUACAGAUGUGUAUCAUCAGCCACACUUGAUUUCCACCUGAAAAAAAAAACGAUAGAUGGAGGCAUGUAUAUUUUACAGGGGUAUUGCUCCGCGAAACGAGAAUCCAAUCAGGGCCCAAGUGUUCGGUGAAAUAAUAACAUGUAGCUUCACUUUAUUACACUCUGACUCAGUUCUUCUGCUCUGUGUUACUAAACCACGUCUUUACUUAUCCUAAUCAGAGGACGUCUUUUGUUAUUUAUAGGCCCGGAAACUAGAAUUCACAAGCUUGCAAGCGUCACAACUGAGGCCUUUGACGCGCGGCGCAUGGAUGCAGGCAUACGCUGUCGAGAGAGCUAAGCUGAGUACCUGAUGGACUUUUGUGGUUCUGUAGUGAGUUCGGUAAUGAUGUUAAGUUGCUACACUGUUUUGUAUCAGAGGUCUGUAUUUAACUAUGGCUGGAGAUCAUUCUCUAGUAACUGAAAAAGACAAGUCUGAGUUGGAAACUUUGGCCAGAAGGAGCAGCUUGGUUAUUGGCAACUUAUUUCUCCAGUAAUUUUUGUAUGCAAUUUGUGAAUGCUCUUUUGUAUUGAAUGGCUUGGGCGCAAGCGAAAUCGUGUUUUGUGUCUUCUUUUUAGAACUUCAAGCAUUCAGCAAGGUGAAGAUAUUCCAGCAUUGUGAAUUUUGUUUGUA